rnacentral:rRNA from 1 species
UACGUAGGGUGCAAGCGUUGUCCGGAAUUAUUGGGCGUAAAGAGCUCGUAGGCGGUCUGUCGCGUCGGCUGUGAAAUCCCGAGGCUCAACCUCGGGUCUGCAGUCGAUACGGGCAAACUAGAGUAUUGCGAGGGGAGACUGGAAUUCCUGGUGUAGCGGUGAAAUGCGCAGAUAUCAGGAGGAACACCGGUGGCGAAGGCGGGUCUCUGGGCAAUAACUGACGCUGAGGAGCGAAAGCGUGGGGGAGCGAACAGG